rnacentral:rRNA from 1 species
AGAAUCAACGCUGGCGGCGUGCCUCAGACAUGCAAGUCGAACGCGAAAGUUCCCUUCGGGGGAUGAUUAGAGUGGCGUCCGGGUGAGUAACACGUGGGUAAUCUACCUUCGGGUGGGGAAUAACAGUCGGAAACGGCUGCUAAUACCGCAUAAUGCAGCGGCACCUAAUGGUGACAGUUGUUAAAGCGGGGGAUCGCAAGACCUCGCGCCUGAAGAGGAGCCCGCGGCGGAUUAGCUAGUUGGUAGGGUAACGGCCUACCAAGGCUUCGAUCC